rnacentral:misc_RNA from 1 species
AAAGUCGUAACAAGGUAUCCGUUGGUGAACCAGCGGAUGGAUCAUUACCUGAACAUAAACGCCAAUUAUGGUGUGGUUGGACUUGAUUCAACCUCUGGUUUGGUUGGUAAAUCAGCCUGCCAGUGCUUGUAGUGUGCAAUGCACGCUUGAUGAGUGAAGGGAUUGUUGGAAUGGACGGACUGUCCAGGCGAGAUGCCUCCUCAAUCUCUGAGACUGCCAUUGACUUCACUGAAGCGAUUGUCUGUAAAAAUGACAACUGCUGGCCGUGGAUCACUUGGCUGAC